rnacentral:rRNA from 1 species
GGCCGCAAGGUGCUGACGAGUGGCGAACGGGUGAGUAAUGCAUCGGAACGUGCCCAGUCGUGGGGGAUAACGCAGCGAAAGCUGCGCUAAUACCGCAUACGAUCUGUGGAUGAAAGCGGGGGACCGUAAGGCCUCGCGCGAUUGGAGCGGCCGAUGUCAGAUUAGGUAGUUGGUGGGGUAAAGGCUCACCAAGCCAACGAUCUGUAGCUGGUCUGAGAGGACGACCAGCCACACUGGAACUGAGACACGGUCCAGACUCCUACGGGAGGCAGCAGUGGGGAAUUUUGGACAAUGGGCGCAAGCCUGAUCCAGCAAUGCCGCGUGCAGGAAGAAGGCCUUCGGGUUGUAAACUGCUUUUGUACGGAACGAAACGGCGAGCUCUAAUACAGUUUGCUAAUGACGGUACCGUAAGAAUAAGCACCGGCUAACUACGUGCCAGCAGCCGCGGUAAUACGUAGGGUGCAAGCGUUAAUCGGAAUUACUGGGCGUAAAGCGUGCGCAGGCGGUUUUGUAAGACAGUCGUGAAAUCCCCGGGCUCAACCUGGGAAUUGCGAUUGUGACUGCAAAGCUGGAGUGCGGCAGAGGGGGAUGGAAUUCCGCGUGUAGCAGUGAAAUGCGUAGAUAUGCGGAGGAACACCGAUGGCGAAGGCAAUCCCCUGGGCCUGCACUGACGCUCAUGCACGAAAGCGUGGGGAGCAAA